rnacentral:rRNA from 1 species
UGGGGAAUAUUGCACAAUGGGCGAAAGCCUGAUGCAGCGACGCCGCGUGAGGGAUGACGGCCUUCGGGUUGUAAACCUCUUUCAGCAGGGAAGAAGCGAAAGUGACGGUACCUGCAGAAGAAGCGCCGGCUAACUACGUGCCAGCAGCCGCGGUAAUACGUAGGGCGCAAGCGUUGUCCGGAAUUAUUGGGCGUAAAGAGCUCGUAGGCGGUCUGUCGCGUCGGAUGUGAAAGCCCGGGGCUUAACCCCGGGUCUGCAUUCGAUACGGGCAGACUAGAGUGUGGUAGAGGAGAUCGGAAUUCCUGGUGUAACGGUGAAAUGCGCAGAUAUCAGGAGGAACACCGGUGGCGAAGGCGGAUCUCUGGGCCAUUACUGACGCUGAGGAGCGAAAGCGUGGGGAGCGAACAGG